AGCGAACGCUGGCGGCAGGCCUAACACAUGCAAGUCGAACGAACUCUUCGGAGUUAGUGGCGGACGGGUGAGUAACACGUGGGAACGUGCCUUUAGGUUCGGAAUAACUCAGGGAAACUUGAGCUAAUACAGAAUGUGACCUUCGGGGGAGAGAUUUAUCGCCAUUAGAGCGGCCCGCGUCUGAUUAGCUAGUUGGUGAGGUAAAGGCUCACCAAGGCGACGAUCAGUAGCUGGUCUGAGAGGAUGACCAGCCACAUUGGGACUGAGACACGGCCCAAACUCCUGCGGGAGGCAGCAGUGGGGAAUCUUGCGCAAUGGGCGAAAGCCUGACGCAGCCAUGCCGCGUGAAUGAUUAAGGUCUUAGGAUUGUAAAAUUCUUUCACCGGGGACGAUAAUGACGGUACCCGGAGAAGAAGCCCCGGCUAACUUCGUGCCAGCCGCCGCCGUAACAC
rnacentral:rRNA from 1 species